rnacentral:lncRNA from 1 species
GGGUAGUAGAACAAUGGGAUUAUGCUGUCACAAAAACCAAAGAAAAAACAUAAUUUCUUAAAUCAUGGUCUGUCACUGAAUCUGGUUAUAAAACCUUAUCUUGCACUAGAAGGAUCUGUAGCUUUUCCAGCUGAGAAUGGGGUUCAGGAUACCGAAUCAACACAAGAAAAGAGAGAAACUGGGGAUGAAGAAAACUCAGCUAAAUUUCCUGUAGGAAGGAGAGAUUUUGACAUAUUCUCAGACCACUUCUACCAAAACAUAAAUCUGUGAUUGUGAUCUCUGAAAGUCAGUCCUUUUAUCUACUCAAGUAGAAAUAUGGGUAUAUAGAAAGGAAGAAAGCAAGGCUAACGAUAGUUAUGACUCAAGGCUUUGAGAAUGUAAAGAGACCACCUUCACUUGUUGAGAAAUGGUACGAUUUCACGUUAUCAGUGCAGUUCCGUUCUCGGGGGAAAG